rnacentral:lncRNA from 1 species
ACGCUCUUGGUAUACGAUCUGGUGAAGAAGAGUUACCUGAGGAGGAAGACGGGGCUCUACGUGGUCCCCUGUCUGCAGCAGGAGUACAGCCUCCUGGAGGAGGGACGGGUGCUCCUGGGCCUGUCGGAGACCAGGUGAGACCAGGGGAACACACACACACACACCCCCAUGGCUCAGCUGGCAGGUGACCUCGUGCCCCGAUACCACAUGUCAAUUGGUUAACGGGGAGAUGCAAUGAAAAACGGGGGCGUUCUGUUGACAUUUAAAUCUCUUUUGUUAGAAAAGGUCAAAGGAUUUGCGUACUACAAACGACUGUGUAGCACUCAUUUAGUAACGGAAUUGCUUCGGAUUCAUUUAAUCGCCAAUUACUAAUUGCCUAAUAUAAGUCCACCAAACCAGGAUUUCACUUACCCUUGUUUGAGUGGCAGGUGAAAUCCUGUGGCUCAUUACAACCACAGCAAUAGGUUUAGGACCCGCCUCCUCACCAUCAAAUGCUGCCAUCGCUGCAGAUCUCAUACUGGGUGCGUCCCCCCUUCAAAACCAGAAGGGUUUUCAGGAGGUUGUGGGGCGUGUUGCAGGGAUCACCUGAUUCUGUGGGAUCUGGAGUCCGGCUACAUCAAGGAGCGGAUCAAACCCUCCCGCAAGGAGUCCCUUCUCUCCGGCGGCGUCUCGGGAGAGCCACAGCCUCCGACCACGGCCACCAAAGAGAAAACAAUGAUGCCGUGGGACUUCAGGACGGAGAGCCGUUCCUCCAGGGGCAGGCGGCUGGAGCGGGAGGCCCGGCGGGAGAGAGAGGAGCAGAGCCGGAUCGACAGGGAGAAGUACAACGCCAUCGACCAGUACCUCCUCAGCGGGGACAAGCAGGUUCACAGGCUGAUUCUAAUCGGGCUGAGUUCACCCCGGACAUUGUGAUGGUUAACGCUUUGGGAACUGAAAGUCUGUCCUCGUGUUUGAUGCACAGCAACACUGAUAUUUAUCUUUCCCUUUUUGUUUCAACAUAA